rnacentral:rRNA from 1 species
AUUGAACGCUGGCGGCAGGCCUAACACAUGCAAGUCGAGCGGAUGAAGGGAGCUUGCUCCUGGAUUCAGCGGCGGACGGGCGAGUAAUGCCUAGGAAUCUGCCUGGUAGUGGGGGAUAACGUCCGGACACGGGCGCUAAUACCGCAUACGUCCUGAGGGAGAAAGUGGGGGAUCUUCGGACCUCACGCUAUCUGAUGAGCCUAGGUCGGAUUAGCUAGUUGGUGGGGUAAAGGCCUACCAAGGCGACGAUCCGUAACUGGUCUGAGAGGAUGAUCAGUCACACUGGAACUGAGACACGGUCCAGACUCCUACGGGAGGCAGCAGUGGGGAAUAUUGGACAAUGGGCGAAAGCCUGAUCCAGCCAUGCCGCGUGUGUGAAGAAGGUCUUCGGAUUGUAAAGCACUUUAAGUUGGGAGGAAGGGCAGUAAGUUAAUACCUUGCUGUUUUGACGUUACCAACAGAAUAAGCACCGGCUAACUUCGUG